rnacentral:lncRNA from 1 species
UAAAACUUGCUAUAUAUACACACACACACACACACACACUUGAUAUUAGUGCACACUUGAGUUGUUUAUCUCACUGGGGAUGGCAGUGCCCGUGGGAAGUGGUUAUGGUGCUGUGUAUAUUGUUCUUGUCACUUUGUGGCCUGGAUCAUACCAUGUCAUCUAUUCUGAAGGGAUUAGAAUUUUCCCUAUUACCUAUCUUCCAACCCUGUGCCAGAAUUCUCUUUGGUAAUUAUCUUUCUCGUUUUGCUGUGCCCAAAACUCCUAGGGAUUAGUUUUCAUUAGUAUGGACAGAAAGAAAACUAUUUAAACAAGAAAUCUAAUGAUACUUGUUUUGGGAAAAUACCAGGUAUUGCUAUUAAUGAUACUAUUUUAAAACUGUCUUAUAGGUGUGAGUGUUGAGUGGAGUGAGACGAGACCAGAGUUUGUCCGUGGCUAUAACCAUCCCUGUGGCUGGUUCUGUGUUCCACUCAAAGACAGUCCAAGCCAGAGUCUUCUUACAGGCUAUAUUCAGACAGACCUGCGUGGCAUGAUCCCUCAGUCUGCCGUAGAUACAGCAAUGGCGAGCACGUUAGCCAACUUCUACAGUGAUUUGCGAAAAGGUCUACGCAAGGCAUAACAUGUUCAACUCCUGUUGCCGUGGUUUGCGGACUCUGCUCCUACCCUGUCAGCUCCAUGACCUAGAGAAGCCAUGUUCCUGCCUGCUGCGGCCUGUGGAAACACUGGAGGUGUUGUUGGGGCCAUAGUACAAUCUCAUUUUCUAUUAAAAAUACAUGGCUAUGUAAAUAGGGCAUUUACAAUUUCUUAAAAGUCUUAUUUGCACCUUGUUUGGUUGUGAAAUGAAAUACCAAGAUUUAGGUCCAGGCUAAGUGUAGUCUAUUCACAUGGGUCAAAUAGGCUGCUUGGAAAUUACAGAGUGUGUAAACUCAGUGCUAUUCAUGUUCUUCUGGAGCUUUUUGAACAUUUUGUAAAAUUAUAGUGGCUCCUAAUGUAAAUGUGAGUUUCUCUUGCUAUGUUCUCUGAGUUUGCCAGUAGCUUGGACAAAAGGAAGUUCUCCAUUGUCUGUAUAGGUGAGUCCACUAUGGGUUAACUUGUGCUAUUGUAAGUAUUAGGAAGACCACAGGGGGCAAGAAUGGCACAGUUCAAUAGAGUUUAAUUUUGAUAUGUGGGCAACGUUCUUCUGCAAAGUCUAUAAAAAACAUAUUUGUGUCCUUAUGUGCAUUUAUUCUGGGAGUGACUGAAAACAACCAGGUAUGCUCUGGUGACAUCGCAUUGAGCAGUAGCUGUCACUGAGGGGACCAGCUAGUGGUGCCCCUCAUCGCCAGCAAAAGGUCAGUGCUAAAAAGUCUGGUCUAUACCGACAUCAACAUGAAGCUACAAACUGCAUGCUGAAAAUUCAGAUUUGAUGUAACUUUGAUAUGCAUUUGUAGCGAAAGCAUCAUUUGAUUCAGCCAGGAAAAGGAAACACAUAAGGAUGCUUAGAUGUCCUGGUAUGACCAGGGUGAACUAUGAAUGAAGCUGUCUCAUGUGAACAUUACUUCAUGGCUAUGACAUCCCAAAUCCUUCUCUGACUUUUGAAUAUCUACCUAGUUUAUUUGUAAAGUGGACAUGUGAGGUGACUCCGUGUCCACACACAUUUUGUGUUUGUGUGAACACGCAGCGCUCAGUGGUGCAUGCCAUUUCCGUGUGGGUUGCUGUUUCUGCUCCUCACUGGUCUUACGUGUUUCCCUUUCCUUCGUUUGGUUGGUUGGUGGGAAGGUGGGUGGGUUUGUGUUUCCGUGUUGGCAGAUCUGGAGUAACGUGAGCUCUGGCAAUAAUGGCAGGCAGGCAGGUCACACAGAGGCCUUCUUCACAAGUCUGUGGUGGGUCAGCUGCAUGAAGGAAGGGAUCAAAGGCAGGAAGGUCUGCUCUUCAGUUUACAUUAGUUUGUUUCUGUAAAAAUGUAAAGUCAGUUCUUUACAUCCAUUUUGACAGUCAAAAAAGGGAGACUGAAUUUUUUCUCUUCUAAAAUUUUUUUCUUGCAACUGGUGAUGAAGAUACACACAGGACAGAGGCGCAGGGUCAGUGUUCUGGUGGGUGAGCUCAUAGCUCUUGGCUUGAAAUAUCACUUCCAGGACCUGCCAGACGCAGUUCCCCCCAGAGGGUUGUGUUCUCAGUUUGUUCAUUGCUAAGUUCCUGUCUGACUUUAUUGUAACUUCUGAAAGGCUAGAUUUCCUCUCUGCUCUUCUCUUCAGCAAUAGGGAAAGAAAAUGGACUUGAGAGUGUCCGGUGAAGGCUGUGAAUUGUUAACUAUCCAGUGUGUCUUCUGUGACUUUAUCUGUUUUUAUUAGUGAGAGCAGAAGGUCUCGUGUAUCCCACUAGUCUGCCCAUGAUCAUAAAGUGACAGGAGCCUGGGUAAAGACUUGGUACCAACAUUGGAUGCUGUCAAGGCUCUCCCUGGCCUGCUCCGAACGGGCUCUCUGCGGAUCUCACACUUGCCCAGUGUCUCUUGGCUAGACCUCCAGUGACUGAUGAGGUCAUUCACUGCUGAGCAGGGACGCACUGCAAGUAAAACAACCCUCGUGGAAAUGUUUUCAUUGCCAUUGUGAGUUUCACAGUAGGUUCAGAAGUGACAUGUGAGCUGUCUGAAACCUAUGUUCAUUAAUGUAGAGUUCACAUAAUCUACAGUUUACCUGUGGUAAAAGUGUGAGUGUUCUUU